rnacentral:lncRNA from 1 species
UACUUUUAAAAAUCAUAGUUACUGUCUUUUUACCUUUCUUUUAUUUAAACUUGCAUAUUUUAAACUGUUCGCGUGAUUUAUUGUUAUGGUUGGAUAAUAUUUUGGGAAUGUGGGUUACCCCUAUUGGAUUGUACGAAUUUAUUGAGAACUACCAAGACGAAGGAAGAUCGAGAAGUACGACUUUAGGAUCUCGAAGUCCGUGUGGAAGGGGCAGGCGAACGAGAAGGUUUCAUCCCUAUAAUAUAUUUUAUCCUUCUGGAACAUUUUUUUUUGAAGCCUCCUCCACCAUCAUAGCAAAGGAGGCCAAACUCUUCUAGAGUUGGCGGCUGUUCAGGGGGACGUUGCUCGGGGGCGGCCCUUCCCUCCGUAUCUGAUGAUACGUUGAGGUACUGCGGCCCACUACCUGAGUCUGGUCCCGAAUCAAC